GCGAUGCACAGGGUAACCAUCCUGCCACCACCAGGGAGCUCUUGGUUGCACUGCAAUCAGCGAGGCCUUGUCAACUCGCUGAUGCCACUUAACCUCUAUGGCCUCUCAUUGCUCAAGAUGGAUAGUUUUGUGCAGGGACGGAGUUUGGUUUCAUGCAUCUUGCAACAAAGCUUCCCAUUGGGCGUCCCGCUUCACAUUUUGCAAAGGUGCUUCCAUGGUUUCUCCAGUCCCACAAGCGCAGCAUAACCUGCUUGCAUGAGUUUUUCCCUGCUGCUCGCGCUGCCCCUAUGUACAACAACACUGUUCUGAUGAUCUCUCCUGCUGACACUGAUCUCCCAUCUCCUCAUCUUAUGCGCCAUCUCUGUGUUGGUUGAUCAGUGGCACUAGACGUUGAUGCUCACGCCGUUGUCAGAAAUGCACUGAGCUACUCAACCUAGUCUAUUAAUGAGUGGAAAAGCCAAGUUAGUGCAUGUUCAAGUUCUCCACUUGCAUUAAUAAGUGGGUGGCAGUUCAAGGUUUCAAUUUCUAUCACACUUUGUGACACUUCCUUCGGAUUUCCUUUGAUGAAUUACCUUUUCACUCUGAGGUGUGACUGGUCACUCACUGUCAGGACCGACAAAGUGCAUACUGAAGAUGACGAGGGGAUGGGCUAGACCAAUGUGUUUUAGACGUCAGAAUCAGAAUCGUGUGGGAGUUGUACAUGUGCUUGCGCGUGUGUGUGAGACCAAUGUGUUUUGGACGUCAGAAUCAUAAUCGUGUGGGAGUUGUACAUGUGCUUGCGUGCGUGCGUGCGUGUGUGUGGGUGUGUGUGUGUGUGUGUGUUUAGAGUGUAGAUUCACUCAUUUUGCUCCGCCCGUAGCCCAUAUUGAAAUCUCUCAAAAAGACUUGUGUUUAGGAACGGAGAGAGUAAUUUUCAAUCCCACCCGCCCUUUCUCAGAACUCUCCUGUUCUUCCCUAUAUACUUCCAAAUUUCUUGUCAUCCUCGUGUGUUCUGAUCCUCCCUAAACAUGAGUUAGCUCAACAGUUGGUAUAAUUAAAAGCUUUAUUUUGGUAUGAA